UACGAAGGGUGCAAGCGUUACUCGGAAUUACUGGGCGUAAAGCGUGCGUAGGUGGUGAGUUAAGUCUGUCGUGAAAGCCCCGGGCUCAACCUGGGAAUGGCCGUUGAAACUGGCGAACUGGAGUGUGGCAGAGGGGGUGGAAUUCCGCGUGUAGCAGUGAAAUGCGUAGAGAUGCGGAGGAACACCGAUGGCGAAGGCAGCCCCCUGGGCUGACACUGACGCUCAGGCACGAAAGCGUGGGGAGCAAACAGG
rnacentral:rRNA from 1 species